CGUUGUUCGGAAUUACUGGGCGUAAAGGGCUCGUAGGUGGCCAACUAAGUCGGACGUGAAAUCCCUCAGCUUAACUGGGGAACUGCGUCCGAUACUGGAUGGCUUGAGUUUGGGAGAGGGAUGCGGAAUUCCAGGUGUAGCGGUGAAAUGCGUAGAUAUCUGGAGGAACACCGGUGGCGAAGGCGGCAUCCUGGACCAACACUGACACUGAGGAGCGAAAGCCAGGGGAGCAAACGGG
rnacentral:rRNA from 1 species